rnacentral:tRNA from 1 species
GAAGAGAUAGCUCAGUGGUAGAGUGUGUGCCUAGCAUGCAUGAGGUCCUGGGUUCAAGCCCUAGUCCCUCCA